ensembl:lncRNA
AACAGGAGAACAGCAGAACAGGAGAACAUGAGAACAGCAGAACAUGAGAACAGGAGAAAAUGAGAACAUGAGAACAGGAGAACAGCAGAACAUGAGAACAGCAGAACAGCAGAACAGGAGAACAGCAGAACAGCAGAACAGGAGAACAUGAGAACAGGAGAACAUGAGAACAGGAGAACAGGAGAACAUGCAGGCAUGUAUGCAGGUAUAGUUUUAUUAGAAAUUAGUUUUAAAACACAGAUGUGUGUGUGUUAGUGUGUAUAUGAGUCUGUGUGUAUGUGUUAGUGUGUAUGUAUAUGUAUGUAGGUGUGUUAGUGUUUGUGUGUGUGUGUGUGUGUAGGUGAGUUAAUGUGGUAGUGUGUGUGUGUGUUUGUGUGUAUGAGAGUGUGUGUAGUGUGUAUUAGUGUGUAUAUGAGAGUGUGUGUGUGUGUUAUGUGUGUGUUCUAGUGUGUAUAUGAGAGAGAGAGAGUGUGUGUGUGUGUAUGAGAGAGUGUGUGUAUGUAUAUGAGAGAGAAGAGAAGUAAAGAAAGAGUGAGACUGAGAGAAAGAAGAGAAGGAAAGAAAGACGGAGGGAAAGAGAGAAAGAAGAGAGGGAGAGAAAGAGAGACCGAGAGAAAGAGAGAAAGAGAGAUGGAGGGAAAGAGAGAGGGAGAGAAAGAGAGAGGGAGAGAAAGAGAGAUGGAGGGAAAGAGAGAGGGAGGGAAAGAGAGAGGGAGGGAAAGAGAGAUGGAGAGAAAGAGAGAAAGAGAGAGGGAGGGAAAGAGCGAGGGAGAGAAAGAGAGAGGGAGGGAAAGAGAGAAAGAGAGACGGAGAGAAAGAGAGACGG